GUAGGCGGGCAAGCGUUGUCCGGAUUUAUUGGGCGUAAAGAGCGUGUAGGCGGUUAGGUAGGUCCGUUGUGAAAACUCGAGGCUCAACCUCGAGACGCCGAUGGAAACCAUCUGACUAGAGUCCGGAAGAGGAGAGUGGAAUUCCUGGUGUAGCGGUGAAAUGCGCAGAUAUCAGGAAGAACACCCGUGGCUAAGGCGGCUCUCUAGUACGUGACUGACGCUGAGACGCGAAAGCGUGGGGAGCGAACAGGAUUAGAUACCCUGGUAGUCCACGCCGUAAACGAUGGGUGCUAGGUGUAGGGGGUGUCGACUCCCUCUGUGCCGAAGCUAACGCAUUAAGCACCCCGCCUGGGGAGUACGGCCGC
rnacentral:rRNA from 1 species